rnacentral:rRNA from 1 species
AUUGAACGCUGGCGGCAGGCCUAACACAUGCAAGUCGAGCGGAGCGGCGGACGGGUGAGUAAUGCCUAGGAAUCUGCCUGGUCGUGUGGGAUAACGUCCGGAAACGGGCGCUAAUACCGCAUACUAUCAGAUGAGCCUAGGUCGGAUUAGCUAGUUGGUGGGGUAAAGGCCUACCAAGGCGACGAUCCGUCACUGGUCUGAGAGGAUGAUGAGUCAAACUGGAACGGAGACACGGUCCAGAUUCCUACGGGAGGCAGCAGUGGGGAAUAUUGGAAAAGGGGGGAAAGCCUGAUCCAGCCAGGCGGCGUGGGUGAAGAAGGUCUUCGGAUGGUAAAGCACUUUAAGUUGGGAGGCGUUACCAACAGAAUAAGCACCGGCUAACUUCGUGCCAGCAGCCGCGGUAAUUC